GACGAACGCUGGCGGCGUGCUUAACACAUGCAAGUCGAACGGUGAACCUCUUCGGAGGGGAUCAGUGGCGAACGGGUGAGUAACACGUGGGCAACCUGCCCCCGGCUCUGGGAUAACUCCAAGAAAUUGGGGCUAAUACCGGAUGUUCACCGCUUCCCGCAUGGGUGGUGGUGGAAAGGGUUUCCGGCUGGGGAUGGGCCCGCGGCCUAUCAGCUUGUUGGUGGGGUAGUGGCCUACCAAGGCGACGACGGGUAGCCGGCCUGAGAGGGUGACCGGCCACACUGGGACUGAGACACGGCCCAUACUCCUACGGGAGGCAGCAGUGAGGAAUAUUGCGCAAUGGGCGGAAGCCUGACGCAGCGACGCCGCGUGGGGGAUGACGGCCUUCGGGUUGUAAGCCUCUUUCAGCAGGGACGAAGCGCAAGUGACGGUACCUGCAGAAGAAGCACCGGCCAACUACGU
rnacentral:rRNA from 1 species